GGUUUGUAUAAAAAGUAUCAUAGAUAAUAUAGUCUUUUUUCUGCUGAUAGCACCUUACCUUCAUUUGCCUAUACAGGUUGUAUUCUUUUCC